GUGACCAUGGACAUAAUAAAGGAUGGACCACAGACUGGAAAAUGGCCGCCCAUUCAUUCCUAUACAAACUGCUCAGUGGCGCAGGGUAACAUACAGGAGCGAUUUGCUUAUGUCUAUGGCCAAGACACGUGACCUAGUCCGUGACGUACCGGAUGCAGAGAUCUUCUUCUUCUUCUAGUUUAGUGGCGGAUCAUAGGCUGUGUCCCAAUUCCUAGGACGCAUCCUUCGAAGGCUGCAUUCGAAGGAUGCGUCGACGCAGAUUGCGUCACAGCGACGCGCCAAGUGCUGUCCCAAUUCCAAGGGUCCUUCAAAUGCGGCCUACGAAUGCAGCCUUCUUUUCCCGGAUUUGAAGGAUGCAUCGGCUGUAUCCUUCACGGCCCAACGUAUCCCAAGAUCCUUCACGGCCCAACGUAUCCCUCCCAAGAUUCAUUGCACACUCAAUCAAUGGAGAUGGCGGAGAAUGGCGAUUUAAUUUCUGUAUUUAAAUGGAGCCAGCAGCAUACUGCUCGAUUUAUUCUAUUGAGGGGGGAGAAGGAUGAGCUGUUCACCGGGGUGAAAUACUCAGCAAGUGUGGCUUGGGGGACAAUUCUGGAGGAAAUAGGCCUGCAGGGGAAGGUAUUGGAUUGGGACAGAGGCAUUCCACCAACCCCCCUGUCCUAAUUGCAUCCAUCCCUGAGAACACACCAGGGCCAAGUACAGCAAGUACAGCAGUGGUGGAUCAGGAGGUGGAGGACAAGGAUCAGGAGGAGGAAAGACAGCGAGGGCCAAGGUCCAGAAAGAGGGACAGAGAAGAAAACAUGUUCCAGAGUCGCUCACUAUCUUCCGAAAAGGACUCAAGAUUCACCUGUUCAGAGUCCACCUCGACUGCAUAGCCACCCUCCCCCUUCUGGCCACCAUUGUACACUGUGUUGUAUUGUAUUGUAUUGUAUUAUAGUACUUAACUGUGUAGCAACUGCAGUAGGCUGCUAUCAUGGCUGUAACACGGGGAAUGGGUUAGCCUAGCGAUUGUGGUACUUGGUUCUAUGAACAUCCUUUCUGUACCGACAGCGAUAUAUUGAUGCACUUCUUAUGACAAAUGUACUUAUUGUAAGUCGCUUUGGAUAAAAGCGUCUGCUAAAUGCCCUAAAUGUAAAAUGUAAAUGUUCCAGUUAAUAAAAGAGGACAUGAGGCUACAAAGGGAGGCAGAGGAGAGGAAAGCAGGGAAAGAAUGGAUAGGUUUUUCUCAAUUAAUAAAAUAUAUUAUUAAUUGAGUAUAAAAAUAUAAAAUAUAUAUACUUAAGGUUAAAUUCUUCUAAUUAGGUUAGUAUCUCUUAGCUAAUUUAUCAGCAAUUUCAUUGCCAUAUAUUCCAUGGUGGGCUGGAAUCCAACAGAACUGAAUAACUAAACCAAGGCUUAAAUUUUUAAAAGAAGACGCUUUACCUCUAUCACCAAAUCUUCGCGUAUUGAAUUAUCUGUUAUAAAACUUAUCUACAACCCAUCUAAGAGCGGUUAUUAUUGUGGCCAUCUCGAUUGAGUAUACUGAUAAAGUCACCCACUCUAUAUCCAUAUCCUUUUUCAAAUUCUGGAAUAUAUAUGCCAAUACCACAUUGACACCAUUCUAUUCUAUGAUAGCUGAUAACCAAGGUACACACUGUAAUACUAUAAUCAAGAGGACAUACAGGCAGUUCAAAUAAAAAGAGAUAGAACUUUAUUGAUCUGGAAACUUCAUAAAUAUGUAAGAUUGCUCCAUAUAAUACCAUAGUAACAUAGUAAAUGUAUGUAGGCCUAAAAAAAUCAUUUCAAUGUAAUUGCUUAAGAAACAGAUUCCUUCAAACUAACUAUUUACGAAAAAUGCAAUCAAUAAUUUAUAUGAAAGUAAAUGUUUACAUAUCGACCAGCAACGAAGUUGGAGUAGCCUACCCAAAUAAUGAAUUGUAAUACACCAACAUUGUCAACUGUCAUACAUAGCUAACCAUAACCCUGUCAUACAUAGCUAAACAAGCAAAUGAAAAUGAAAUACCUACCAACGCAACUGAAAUGUUAAUAUUAGACAAUUAACAAUACUAUGAAAAUUACGUAGGUCUCCCAUAAUCAUUCAGGUAAUCAAUACGUCCGUGCCUGUUACAGCUAUUUCAAUGAUAUGUGUGUUAUAUAUCCGUGUUCAACGCCAUUCAUGUUAAGUAAAAGGAGAAAUCUCAGACUUUGGAAGUUAAUUCGGAAUUUAAUUUAAUUCGGAAGUUAAUGGAGCCGUGCACUUCAAAAUAGGUCCAUAGCAAGGAGCCGUUUGUUUCAGUACGACUCCUUUCAGCUGCCCACCCAACAUAAACUGCUAAUAAAACGCUUGAGGAGGCGUUUUGAAAAGAAAAACUUACAUUUUUUUAGAACAGGGUAGAAAUAUAAUUAUGAGCAUUUGAUUGAUAUCCAGACAUUUUUUGCGGAGACACAAUCCUGUUCCCCACUUGUAUUGGAGUGGACGGCGAUAUCUACUUCUGGGCCACAUGAAAUGACGGACCCCCGUCCACAGCCAGCUUAAACAGCUGCAAUACCAGGCUUGGCCUCUGAGCACUGGUGGAUUGCGGAAGUAUGCGUAUCCUGGGGGCCUGACUGUGACCCGUUUCUCAAUUCCUAGCACGCGUACUACGGACUCGAUGACUUGCAAGCACGUACUUGGCAAGUCCGUACUUCAAGCACAGACUUGCGAGCACGCGAUUACGUACCUGCAAUUGGAACAGCAGCGGACUCGAUGACGUCAC
ensembl:lncRNA